rnacentral:rRNA from 1 species
GUAGGGGGCGAGCGUUAUCCGGAAUUACUGGGUGUAAAGGGAGCGCAGACGGCGGAUUAAGCCUGAAGUGGAAGGCCGGGGCCCAACCCCGGGAGUGCUUUGGGAACUGGUCAGCUGGAGUAUGGGAGGGGUAAGCGGAAUUCCUGGUGUAGCGGUGAAAUGCGUAGAUAUCAGGAGGAACACCGGUGGCGAAGGCGGCUUACUGGACCAUAACUGACGUUGAGGCUCGAAAGCGUGGGGAGCGAA